GAUAACCACGAUGGCGUUUUCCCUUUUUAAUUUUGUUUUACAACUAAACCAAACCAGCCCCUCAAAUAAUUUUUAAAGAGCAAAACCCACCCCUUGUGGUAAUUGUUUGAUCAACAGCUUGUAUAAUUACAAAAUCAGCCCUCAGAUACCUUGUUUUAUUUAAAUCAGUCCUAUUGUUUAUAAUAAUGGAACACAACAAUUCCUUUAUUUUAAUUGGUUACAAAAGGAACCCGGAAAUGUUUUAAAGUCCAAGAGUGGUUAAUUUGCAGUUUCUCAUGACAAGCUUCACGAAGCAAGCCUAGAUCGAGAUCACGCAUCGAAUGUUAUUUAUAAGGUCAGAAGAGUUCGUAUAGAAGAUUCUCCGAUAUUCUUAUCAUACAAAUGUGAACGCCGGAUUGUUAGGCGUUUGUAGCGUUUCAGCAAUAACUAUUGUCAAUGUAAUUUCCAUUUCGGUAGUAAUAAAAGAUUAUAUUUCUAUUGUUCAAUGUAUGUUCGAUAACUGUGAUUACUGGUUUACGUCAUGCACCUCGGCGUUUCCGCCGUCGGUCGAGGGUGUGACAAACUUGAAGAAAUUAUAGAAGAAAAUAUUGAAGGAGAAGUCCAUAACAUAGAAGUACUUUUAUAUUGGAAUGAUGCAUGUUGAAGAAUAUGAAAGGGUAAGAGACCAAGCCAAGCAACUAGAUGCUCGAAAUUGGGAACUGAAGCUUCGAUGCAAGAUGUAUGAGCAAGAGUUGAGGAUCACAAAAGGAUUUCUCUUGGUAAAGAUCAAAGAUAGACUGAGCUUUUGGAAAAGUAAAACAUCUAACAUAUCAAAAAAGGAGAGAGGGGGUGUAGUGUGUUGUCGUGUUUUGUGGUGUAUUUAUAUAUCUGUUUAUAUGGUGUAAAAUCCGUACUUGAUACUUCCCUGAAGUUGGUUCCUAAAUAUCAAUAUAAUUUUACUCUUGUUCCUUUUA